CCCUCUGGGGUCCACCUGGCCUUUCUGAGGGGUCCUUCCUGGGUUUUCAGCCUCACCUCCUUCAGGUGUCAGACCCUUCAGGUGCUGACAGGAUCUCAUUUAAUCCUCAAGCUGCCCUGGGAAGCUUGAGUUUCUUAUUCCCAUUUUACAGAUGAGGAAACUGAGGCUCCGAAAGGCAGAGACCUCCCCAAGCCUCCUCCGCAGAUAAGUGGCUCCACUUAGCUCCUGACCUGAGCCUGUGGGCUCUGUCCCCUGCUCCCUGCUCUAGGGUCCUGCACCACCCACAGUCAGCUCAGGCAGCUGAUCUCCAACCAGGAAGAACAUUCUGGGCCCUCCCAAACUCGGGAUGGAGGAUUUGCUGAGACGAGCGUUCCCUGAGGGUGUCCUUCCACUGGAGGUCCUUAGGAUAUUCAGAAAGCAACCCAAUUCACCCCAGACCUAGCAACUUACACAUUUUUAAAAUUUCAUUUUUAAAUCCCUAAUGUAUACUCAUGGUUCAAAACCAAAACACAAAAGUUGUCAUGUGGAAGGUCUCCCUCCUAAAUGUUCCAUAUCCACCAGGCUCCCAGGCACACAAUGCACACCUGUAAUGCAUACACGCUCUCCUGGGCUCCCUUACAAGAUUUCCUUAUGUGAACACAAGCAGACACAUAUGCACACAGAGACGGGCAGUAUGCAAGAGUUCAAGACCUUGCACACAUGUCCCCCUAGUCUCUUGUUCCUUACACAGAGGCCUUAUCUUGACCACAAUGUGCUCCUGCCUUCCCCCAACAAGAACACACUCUUAAACUCGCUUUCUGGCCGUUCAGUCUCAGGCACAGCUGCCCAUGUGGACUGAAGACACAGUCAGGGGAUGGAGGUGGCCUCUGCUUCACAGCCGCCCUCCCAGACCUGAGCCCCUGACCUAAAACAGUGGUGGGGAGCACAGUGUACACCUGCUGGGUACAGUGGAGGCCCCAGGCCAAUCUUGGCCCUGUAGACUUUUCCAUGCCCAAUGGAGGGUCUACAGGAUAGCCCUCCAACCCACAACACACCCUCAGAGCCAUGCUGCCCUCACACGGCCAGACAAGCAUACACAUAAGACACACUCUUAGCCCAUACAAUGCAGACACUACACGCACACAUGUGCAAGCAGGCACAUGCACACGGGCUCUUCCAGUGAGUGGCGGGCAACACCCCACUGUCCCCAGGCCUGGUCUUAGGUGGCUGAGCACAGACAGGAGAAGCGCCUGGCACAGGGUCACACAGUGAGCAAAGGUUAGGCUAGGAUGGGACCCCAGACACCCUGCCUGCCGGCCUCGGGGCCCUACCACUGGGCACAGUGAGGUGAUUGUCCCAGGGUUGGCCUCCAAAGCUCCUCUAUCCUGCCAAACUACCCUGCCCAGAAGUUCAGCCCGCUUGAGUCUGGAAAACUCCCUGCUGUUUUAGGGCUCUCUUUACCCACUCCGCCACCCCAUGCCAGGACUCAGCAACCACAUGAAAGGAAAAUCUGCCCCCAGGCUCCCUGCAACUGAGGGUCAGGAGCACAGACAGCAGGUGACAAAACAGCUCAGGCUUAACUCACACAUCCUUCUGAUUAAGAAACAACAUUUUCAGCCCUGGCACAGUGGCUCACACCUUAAUCCCCCAUACUUCCAGAGGCCAAGGCAGGCAGAUCACUUGAGGUCAGGAGUUCAAGACCAGCCUGGCCAAUAUGGUGAAACCCCGUCUCAACAAAAAAUACAAAAAAUAGCUGGGAGUGGUGGCGGGUAACUGUAAUCCCAGCUACUUAGGAGGCUGAGGUAUGAGAAUUGCUUGAACCCGGUGGGUGGAGGUUGCAGUGAGCCGAGAUGGCGCCACUGCACUCCAGCCUGGGCGACAGAGGGAGACUGUCUCAAAAAAAAAAAAAAAAAAAGAAAAAAA
ensembl:lncRNA